GGACAUCUUUCAAGCUGUUGGGCUUAAUCUCUAUUUGUUUCCAUAUGGAGUUCUCCCGACUGGCCCUGGCAGAGGCAUAAUUGAGGUCGUUCCUAAUACACGAAGCAGAAGUCAGAUGGGUGAAACCACUGAUGGGGGAUUGUAUGAGAUCUUUCAACAGGACUAUGGGCCGGUAGGCUCUCCUAAUUUUGAAGCAGCCCGUGAG
rnacentral:misc_RNA from 1 species